UGCUGAGAUGGCACUGGAGGUCCCCCAUGCUCCCACACAUCUUCAGUGGGCCACUGCUUUCCCAUUUUAAAUUUGCUGAAGAGAAGAAUUAAAGAGUGAUGAAAAGA